UACGUAGGGGGCGAGCGUUGUCCGGAUUUAUUGGGCGUAAAGAGCUCGUAGGCGGUUUGGCAAGUCGGGUGUGAAAACUCCGGGCUCAACUCGGAGACGCCACUCGAUACUGCUAUGACUCGAGUCCGGUAGGGGAGUGCGGAAUUCCUGGUGUAGCGGUGAAAUGCGCAGAUAUCAGGAGGAACACCGGUGGCGAAGGCGGGUCUCUGGGCCAAAACUGACGCUGAGGAGCGAAAGCGUGGGGAGCGAACAGG
rnacentral:rRNA from 1 species